AACGAACGCUGGCGGCAGGCCUAACACAUGCAAGUCGAGCGAAGCCUUCGGGCUUAGCGGCGGACGGGUGAGUAACGCGUGGGAACGUGCCCUUUGGUACGGAAUAGCCCCGGGAAACUGGGAGUAAUACCGUAUGUGGUCGAGAGACGAAAGAUUUAUCGCCAAAGGAUCGGCCCGCGUUGGAUUAGGUAGUUGGUGGGGUAAUGGCCUACCAAGCCGACGAUCCAUAGCUGGUUUGAGAGGAUGAUCAGCCACACUGGGACUGAGACACGGCCCAGACUCCUACGGGAGGCAGCAGUGGGGAAUCUCAGACAAUGGGGGAAACCCUGAUCUAGCCAUGCCGCGUGAUCGAUGAAGGCCUUAGGGUUGUAAAGAUCUUUCAGUGGGGAAGAUAAUGACUGUACCCACAGAAGAAGCCCCGGCUAACUCCGUGCCAGCAGCCGCUGUAAUAC
rnacentral:rRNA from 1 species